UACGAAGGGGGCUAGCGUUGCUCGGAAUCACUGGGCGUAAAGCGCACGUAGGCGGCUUCUUAAGUCAGGGGUGAAAUCCUGGAGCUCAACUCCAGAACUGCCUUUGAUACUGAGAAGCUUGAGUCCGGGAGAGGUGAGUGGAACUGCGAGUGUAGAGGUGAAAUUCGUAGAUAUUCGCAAGAACACCAGUGGCGAAGGCGGCUCACUGGCCCGAUACUGACGCUGAGGUGCGAAAGCGUGGGGAGCGAACAGG
rnacentral:rRNA from 1 species